AUACGUAGGGAGCGAGCGUUGUCCGGAAUUACUGGGUGUAAAGGGAGCGUAGGCGGGAGUGCAAGUCAGAUGUGAAAUACAUGGGCUCAACCCAUGGGCUGCAUUUGAAACUGCAUUUCUUGAGUGAAGUAGAGGUAAGCGGAAUUCCUGGUGUAGCGGUGAAAUGCGUAGAUAUCAGGAGGAACACCGGUGGCGGAGGCGGCUUACUGGGCUUUUACUGACGCUGAGGCUCGAAAGCGUGGGGAGCAAACAGGAUUAGAUACCCUGGUAGUCCACGCUGUAAACGAUGAUUACUAGGUGUGGGGGGACUGACCCCUUCCGUGCCGCAGUUAACACAAUAAGUAAUCCACCCGGGGAGUACGGCCGCAAGGUUGAAACUCAAAUGAAUUGACGGGG
rnacentral:rRNA from 1 species